CGUGAGGGACGAAGGCCUCUGGGCUGUAAACCUCUUUUCUCAAGGAAGAAGAUAUGACGGUACUUGCGGAAUAAGCCACGGCUAAUUCCGUGCCAGCAGCCGCGGUAAUACGGGAGUGGCAAGCGUUAUCCGGAAUUAUUGGGCGUAAAGCGUCCGCAGGCGGCCUUUCAAGUCUGCUGUUAAAGCGUGGAGCUUAACUCCAUCAUGGCAGUGGAAACUGAUAGGCUUGAGUAUGGUAGGGGCAGAGGGAAUUCCCGGUGUAGCGGUGAAAUGCGUAGAUAUCGGGAAGAACACCAGUGGCGAAGGCGCUCUGCUGGGCCAUAACUGACGCUCAUGGACGAAAGCCAGGGGAGCGAAAGGGAUUAGAUACCCCUGUAGUCCUGGCCGUAAACGAUGAACACUAGGUGUCGGGGGAAUCGACCCCUUCGGUGUCGUAGCUAACGCGUUAAGUGUUCCGCCUGGGGAGUACGCACGCAAGUGUG
rnacentral:rRNA from 1 species